rnacentral:rRNA from 1 species
UACAGAGGUCUCAAGCGUUGUUCGGAUUCAUUGGGCGUAAAGAGCGUGUAGGCGGUCCGGUGAGUCCGCUGUGAAAGUCGGGGGCUCAACCCUCGAAUGCCGGUGGAUACUGUCGGGCUAGAGUGCGGAAGAGGCGAGUGGAAUUCCUGGUGUAGCGGUGAAAUGCGCAGAUAUCAGGAGGAACACCUAUUGCGAAGGCAGCUCGCUGGGACGUAACUGACGCUGAGACGCGAAAGCGUGGGGAGCAAACAGG